rnacentral:rRNA from 1 species
AAUAGAUACCCCGGUAGUCCAUGCCGUAAACGUUGGGCACUAGGUGUGGGGCUCAUUCCACGAGUUCCGUGCCGCAGCAAACGCAUUAAGUGCCCCGCCUGGGGAGUACGGCCGCAAGGCUAAAACUCAAAGGAAUUGACGGGGGCCCGCACAAGCGGCGGAGCAUGCGGAUUAAUUCGAUGCAACGCGAAGAACCUUACCAAGGCUUGACAUGCACGGGAAGCCACCAGAGAUGGUGGUCUCUUUGGACACUCGUGCACGGGUGGUGCAUGGUUGUCGUCAGCUCGUGUCGUGAGAUGUUGGGUUAAGUCCCGCAACGAGCGCAACCCUGUCCCAUGUUGCCAGCGGGUUAUGCCGGGGACUCAUGGGAGACUGCCGGGGUCAACUCGGAGGAAGUGGGGAUGACGUCAAAUCAUCAUGCCCCUUAUGUCUUGGGCUUCACGCAUGCUACAAUGGCCGGUACAAAGGGCUGCGAUACCGUAAGUGAGCGAAUCCCAAAAGCCGGUNUCAGUUCGAUUGGGGUCUG